rnacentral:rRNA from 1 species
UACGAAGGGGGCUAGCGUUGCUCGGAAUCACUGGGCGUAAAGCGCACGUAGGCGGCUUUUUAAGUCAGGGGUGAAAUCCUGGAGCUCAACUCCAGAACUGCCUUUGAUACUGAGAAGCUUGAGUUCGGGAGAGGUGAGUGGAACUGCGAGUGUAGAGGUGAAAUUCGUAGAUAUUCGCAAGAACACCAGUGGCGAAGGCGGCUCACUGGCCCGAUACUGACGCUGAGGCGCGAAAGCCAGGGGAGCAAACGGG